rnacentral:rRNA from 1 species
GAUGAACGCGGGCGGCGUGCUUAAUACAUGCAAGUAGAACGCUGAAGCUUGGUGCUUGCACCGAGCGGAUGAGUUGCGAACGGGUGAGUAACGCGUAGGUAACCUGCCUCUUAGCGGGGGAUAACUAUUGGAAACGAUAGCUAAUACCGCAUAAAAGACGAUAUCGCAUGAUAUUGAUUUGAAAGAUGCAAUUGCAUCACUAAGAGAUGGACCUGCGUUGUAUUAGCUAGUUGGUGAGGUAACGGCUCACCAAGGCGACGAUACAUAGCCGACCUGAGAGGGUGAUCGGCCACACUGGGACUGAGACACGGCCCAGACUCCUACGGGAGGCAGCAGUAGGGAAUCUUCGGCAAUGGGGGCAACCCUGACCGAGCAACGCCGCGUGAGUGAAGAAGGUUUUCGGAUCGUAAAGCUCUGUUGUAAGAGAAGAACGAGUGUGAGAGUGGAAAGUUCACACUGUGACGGUAACUUACCAGAAAGGGACGGCUAACUACGUGCCAGCAGCCGCGGUAAUACGUAGGUCCCGAGCGUUAUCCGGAUUUAUUGGGCGUAAAGCGAGCGCAGGCGGUUAGAUAAGUCUGAAGUUAAAGGCUGUGGCUUAACCAUAGUACGCUUUGGAAACUGUUUAACUUGAGUGCAGAAGGGGAGAGUGGAAUUCCAUGUGUAGCGGUGAAAUGCGUAGAUAUAUGGAGGAACACCGGUGGCGAAAGCGGCUCUCUGGUCUGUAACUGACGCUGAGGCUCGAAAGCGUGGGGAGCAAACAGG